UGAGCAACCUGCCCUUGACACUGGAAUAACAGUUGGAAACAGCUGCUAAUACCGGGUAUGACCUGUCACCGCAUGGUGGUGGGUGGAAAGCCCUGGCGGUCAAGGAUGGGCUCGCGGCCUAUCAGCUAGUUGGUGAGGUAAUGGCUCACCAAGGCUUCGACGGGUAGCCGGCCUGAGAGGGCGACCGGCCACACUGGGACUGAGAUACGGCCCAGACCUCCGUACGGGAGCA
rnacentral:rRNA from 1 species